GUGUGUGUGUAGAUGUGUGUGUGUAGGUGUGUGUGUGUGUAGAUGCGUGUGUAGAUGUGUGUGUGUGUAGAUGUGUGUGUGUGCGUAGAUGUAUGUGUGUGUGUGUGUGUAGAUGUGUGUGUGUGUGUACGUGUGUGCGUAGAUGUGUGUGUGUGUGUAGAUGUGUGUAGGUGUGUGUAGGUGUAGAUGUGUGUAGGUGUGUGUAGGUGUGUAGGUGUAGAUGUGUGUAGGUGUGUGUAGGUGUGUAGGUGUAGAUGUGUGUGUAGGUGUGUGUGUGUGUAGGUGUGUGUGUGUAGAUGUGUGUGUGUAGGUGUAGAUGUGUAGGUGUGUGUGUAGAUGUAUGUGUAGGUGUGUGUGUGUGUAGAUGUGUGUGUGUGUAGAUGUGUGUGUGUGUGUGUGUGUGUGUAGGUGUGUGUGUAGGUGUGUGUGUAGACGUGUGUGUGUGUGUAGACGUGUGUGUGUGUGUAGACGUGUGUGUGUGUGUAGACGUGUGUGUGUGUGUAGACGUGUGUGUGUGUGUGUAGACGUGUGUGUGUGUAGACGUGUGUGUGUGUAGACGUGUGUGUGUGUAGACGUGUGUGUGUGUGUGUAGACGUGUGUGUGUGUGUGUAGACGUGUGUGUGUGUAGACGUGUGUGUGUGUAGACGUGUGUGUGUGUAGACGUGUGUGUGUGUGGGCGUGUGUGUGUGUGUGUGUGUGUGUGUGUGUGUGUGUGUAGGUGUGUG